GACGAACGCUGGCGGCGUGCUUAACACAUGCAAGUCGAACGGAAAGGCCCUGCUUUUGUGGGGUGCUCGAGUGGCGAACGGGUGAGUAACACGUGAGUAACCUGCCCUUGACUUGGGGAUAACUUCAGGAAACUGGGGCUAAUACCGGAUAGGAGCUCCUGCUGGAUGGUGGGGGUUGGAAAGUUUCGGCGGUUGGGGAUGGACUCGCGGCUUAUCAGCUUGUUGGUGGGGUAGUGGCUUACCAAGGCUUUGACGGGUAGCCGGCCUGAGAGGGUGACCGGCCACAUUGGGACUGAGAUACGGCCCAGACUCCUACGGGAGGCAGCAGUGGGGAAUAUUGCACAAUGGGCGGAAGCCUGAUGCAGCAACGCCGCGUGCGGGAUGACGGCCUUCGGGUUGUAAACCGCUUUCGCCUGUGACGAAGCGUGAGUGACGGUAAUGGGUAAAGAAGCACCGGCUAACUACGUG
rnacentral:rRNA from 1 species